GACGAACGCUGGCGGCGUGCUUAACACAUGCAAGUCGAACGGAAAGGCCCUGCUUUUGUGGGGUGCUCGAGUGGCGAACGGGUGAGUAACACGUGAGUAACCUGCCCUUGACUUUGGGAUAACUUCAGGAAACUGGGGCUAAUACCGGAUAGGAGCUCCUGCUGCAUGGUGGGGGUUGGAUAGUUUCGGCGGUUGGGGAUGGACUCGCGGCGUAUCAGCUUGUUGGUGGGGUAGUGGCUUACCAAGGCUUUGCCGGGUAGCCGGCCUGAGAGGGUGACAGGCCACAUUGGGACUGAGAUGCGGCACAGACUCGUACGGGAGGCAGCGGUGGGGAAUAUUGCACAAUGGGCGGGAGCCUGAUGCAGCAACGCCGCGUGCGGGAUGACGGCCUUCGGGUUGUAAACCGCUUUCGCCUGUGACGAAGCGUGAGUGACGGUAAUGGGUAAAGAAGCACCGGCUAACUACGUG
rnacentral:rRNA from 1 species